GGAGAGGUGGCUCAAUGGUUAAGAGCACUGACUGCUCUUCCAGAGGACCUGGGUUCAAUUCCCAGCACCCUCA
rnacentral:tRNA from 1 species